GAUAGAACCCGCGCCCGGGCGGUCGCUGUGAGUGUGAGUGUGAGAGAGGCAGAGAACAGCCCCGCAGGUCCCGAGGCGCUAGCUGGGGACUCUGCCGCGGAAAGUUCCCAGUCCCCAGCCGCAGAUCUGCAGGAUUGAAAUGACAUGUGUUGAGGUCUUCAAGCUGACUCAUCAGAAUCCUAGAGCAUUUUUUAAAUGACGUGUGCCCAGAGCUUUGAGAAGACAUUUUUUUUUUAAAGAAAUGGAAGACAAAAGAUUAAAAUUGUCAAUAAGGAGUCUUUCAAACGCCAGGCUCAUCCCGGAUUGAGCUAGAUGGUCCUGGCACCUGUCAUUCCCAGCAAGGAGAGUGCAGAGAACUAACACAAAGGACUUGGACUGCAUUGCAACUCUUCAGGGUAACCAUGCAAUAGGUUUAUUUGUAGCAGUGUAACCUAACUUAAGAGGUGGGGAGGCAAGGCUUUGGAGCCAAUGCCAUAGACGCUGUGUUAGCCUUUGUCUAUAGUAAAGAGUGAAUGCUGACUAGAAUUUCGAGAAAAAACACUUAUAGCCUAUGCUAUGAUAAGCAUUCAGAUAACUCUUUAGUUGCUGUGUUUUAAUGCUUUGAACACAACAGAGAGCAAACCAAUUCAUGUUUUGGGGACUUAGACUACUAGAUAUUCCAUUAAGCAUUACUUGAUAUUCAAAGUAGAAAUGUUCUGUUUUGUUUAACCUGGUUAAUAUCGGUGUGGCUUCACAUUUCAGUGUCUUUUCAAUGAUCAGACAGGGCCAGCAUUUUGUUAAACUCUAAACAGUGAAUUAAAAGCACUGAUGAGCUGAAGCAGCCCUCUAAUGCAAAAUGACAAAUUGCACUUAAGCAAUACAUGAACAAGAAAAUGAUUUAUGGAUUUUUACAGUGGUCUGAGUAAA